GAUGAACGCUGGCGGCGUGCUUAACACAUGCCAGUCGAACGGAAAGGCCAGUGCUUGCCCUGGUACUCGAGUGGCGAACGGGUGAGUAACACGUGGGUGAUCUGCCCUGCACUUCGGGAUAAGCCUGGGAAACUGGGUCUAAUACCGGAUAGGACAAUGGUUUGGAUGCCGUUGUGGAAAGUUUUUUCGGUGUGGGAUGAGCUCGCGGCCUAUCAGCUUGUUGGUGGGGUAAUGGCCUACCAAGGCGUCGACGGGUAGCCGGCCUGAGAGGGUGUACGGCCACAUUGGGACUGAGAUACGGCCCAGACUCCUACGGGAGGCAGCAGUGGGGAAUAUUGCACAAUGGGCGCAAGCCUGAUGCAGCGACGCCGCGUGGGGGAUGACGGCCUUCGGGUUGUAAACUCCUUUCGCUAGGGACGAAGCGUAUUUGUGACGGUACCUGGAGAAGAAGCACCGGCUAACUACGUG
rnacentral:rRNA from 1 species